AGUAUCAGUCUGAUCCUAGGAAGUAAGCAGGUUCAGGAGAAGAUGAGAAGCUGAUUAAACAGUGAGAACAAGGUCCCAUUCCUGUGCUGAGAUGCCGCUGCUGUCACCAGGUUUGACCCACUUGCCUCAGCCCCUCUUCCAUAACAGUAUGUGUGGGCUCCUGUGUUGGCGUCAGAGGACAACCCUCAGAAGUUCUCAUUCCACUAUGAAAUCUGGAGAUGAAGAUUAGAUUUGGGGCUUGCACAUCGAGAGCUUUAACCACAGAGCCAUCUCACUUGUCCUCUUUUUCUCAGCAAAAGGUAUACUUAAUGUCUGUUGUCAAGAGGAAAUGUACACACAGAAACCAGGAAGCUGCCAUGAUGAAAUGCGUCACUGCUGCAUUAACCACAGCAGCCACUGGGUGUCUCCAUCACAUCACCUCACUCACUCUCUGAUGGGAGUUUCCAAUCAAAGAGAUGGAGAGCAGAGGUUUAUUCACAGAAUUCUUCCUUCCUACUUUUUAAAUUUUAUUUUCAUACGUAGGAGAGUAUUUUACUCACCUGUGUUUGUAUCAUGUGCAUGUCUGGAGUCCAAGAAAGGAGGUCAUAAGAAAACAUCAGAUCUCCUAGAGCUGGAGUUAGGGACUGUGCUGAGUCUCCAUAUGGGUGCUGGGAAUCAAACCCUGCUCCUCUGAAAGAACAAGUGUUCUUAACUGCUGAGCUACUGCCAGACACCUCAUAAAUUCUUAAUGAAGAACACCCACCAUUUUCUUGUCAGAUGUCCUGUUGAGAAACAGGUCUCCCUAUAUGUGCCAUGUUUUAUUUUUAAUAACUGGACACUUCAUUUUCCAAAGA